rnacentral:rRNA from 1 species
CGUGCGAGAAACCUACCCUUCGGGGUAGGGAGUAAAGCGGCAGACGGGUGAGUAACACGUGGGUAACCUACCUCCGAGUGGGGGACAACCUGCCGAAAGGCGGGCUAAUACCCCAUAAGCUCACGACCACCACGGUGGUUGUGAGAAAAGGUGGCCUCUGCAUGCAAGCUGCCGCUCGGAGAUGGGCCCGCGGCCCAUCAGCUAGUUGGUGGGGUAAUGGCCCACCAAGGCUACGACGGGUAGCCGGCCUGAGAGGGUGGUCGGCCGCACUGGCACUGAGACACGGGCCAGACUCCUACGGGAGGCAGCAGUGGGGAAUAUUGGGCAAUGGGCGCAAGCCUGACCCAGUGACGCCGCGUGGGGGAUGAAGGCCUUCGGGUCGUAAACCCCUGUCAGGAGGGAAGAAUGUCUGAUGGGUUAAGAGCCCAUUGGACUGACGGUACCUCCAGAGGAAGCCACGGCUAACUCCGUGCCAGCAGCCGCGGUAAUACGGAGGUGGCAAGCGUUACUCGGAAUCACUGGGCGUAAAGCGCGCGUAGGCGGGAAGGUAAGUCGGCCGUGUAAGCCCGGGGCUCAACCCCGGAACUGCGG